rnacentral:piRNA from 1 species
UGGGCUAAGUCUUGACUGGAAUGCUGGCC